UACGUAGGGUGCGAGCGUUAAUCGGAAUUACUGGGCGUAAAGCGUGCGCAGGCGGUUUUGUAAGCCAGAUGUGAAAUCCCCGGGCUUAACCUGGGAAUGGCAUUUGGGGACUGCAAGGCUGGAGUGCGGCAGAGGAGACUGGAAUUCCCGGUGUAGUGGUGAAAUGCGUAGAGAUCGGGAGGAACACCAGUGGCGAAGGCGGCCGGCUGGGGGUGACCUGACGCUGAGGCGCGAAAGCGUGGGGAGCGAACCGG
rnacentral:rRNA from 1 species